rnacentral:lncRNA from 1 species
GUGCCCAAUGUAUCAUGUCCUGAUCGUACGGGAUCGUGCCCACUAACUUACCAACUGAAGCUCUAACUCUCCGCUAUAAAAGAGGACCGUCGAAGAAGGUAUGCAAGAACUCUACCUCUCACGCUCCUCCUUCUAUUGAACGAAAUUUUGACUUGAGCUUCGGGGGGUCCUUGCCGGAGCCACCUCUAAUUUGAACUUUUUUGCAGGUCACGUGCCCAGGAGGCCUACCUUAUCACCAACUCCAG